rnacentral:lncRNA from 1 species
AUGAAAAAGAAAGCUGGAACAAGAAAGCUUUAUUACAAAGAAACAAAUUACUUCCUCUCACUAAAGAAGAAAAAGAAAUUAAAUCUAAAAAGUUGUUAAAACAGUUGAAAAAAGUUGUGGAAGAGUUAGCAAAUAUGGGCAAUGACGUUGUUGCGGUUACUUGGUGGUGCUCCUGUUGUAACUGCAACCGAAAGAGGGUGCCAAUUUUGACUAAAUUCUGAAGAAUUAAACUUUCAGUUUAAAUUUGCUGAAUUUUUGAAAGCUCCAAUAGUCAAUAAGGAAAUGGUUGAAAAAAAUAAAUUAUGUACUAAAGUUGCAGAUAUUUUGAAUAAAA